GACAUUACAUCUCCGCCUGAUGUACAGAGUAGGAAGUACGCUGUUCGUCCUUGCGAGAUGCACGUCCCAUACAAGUGACCCCCUAGUACACCCUUCGUUCCAGGGGCAUGCCAUGUAAUGAUCAUUCAUCCCUGCAGCGGACAGGGAUCGCGCGCGGCGUGGUGAGGGCCAGCAGAGGCCGGAGUGGGGGUACGUCCCCCGUCCUCCCCGCGCCCCGCCAUCAGCGCCGGCCAAUGAGGGGCUAGCGUGAGCUGGCGCGGACGACCGUUCAAAUAAACCGCCCCGGUUAGGUUGGCAGCAUUUUGGUGUUAUUAAGUUGGCUCCUCUUUCCGACUGUCUUGUGUCUUGUCCUUGUCUUUGCGCGCGCUCUGAGCGUUUCUGUCUUUGUUUCUGUGUUAUACUUCGCUUGAACUAUGUUGUUUCCUUGUGCUGACAAGAACAAUGGAUGGAAGAGAAACAAAUUUGAAGCACGGGUGCUCUCUUCAACUGGGAAUAAAUAGAGGGACCAUGAAGAGACGGCAGAGAAACUUUGCCUUCAUGAUGAUUCCGAGCCCAACAUCUUUUCAAAAUGAAUCGGCAUCAGAAACAGAACUUAAUAAUAUGAUUCUUCUAGUCUCUUAGUUGUUCUCAAAGUCUGCAACUCAAUUUAAUAGAAGCAAUCAAGAUGUGGGAUGAAACUUUGGGCUACGAUUGAGAUUCUGAACUCCAGAUUUGACUUUUUAGUUGCUCGUCACAGCUACCUCACACUAUAUUUGUUUCGUUUUGUACUCUGAUAGUGUCCAAAAGUCUGAAACUUGAGUACAUCUUCUUUUGUGGGCCACGUUGACAUACAGCAAUUAUGAUGUGGGAUGAAAUUUGGACUACGAUAGAGGUUUCGAACCCACAAUAUGACUUUUUAGUUGCUCGUCCCAACUACUGCACACUAGAUUUGUUUUGUUUUGUGCUCAGACAGAGUCCAAGAGACAACAACUUUAGUACAUCUUCUUUUGUGGGCCAUUUUAACAUGAUACAAGCGAUUAAGAUGUGGGAAGAAACUUGGACUACGUUUGAUUUUGGUUCAGUUCUGAGUUGAUUUUGGCACCUACUGAACAUUGUGUGUGAUAUUUAACUUAAAAUACUGUUGAGUAUGCUUUUCUAUUUUAGCUUGAAUCAGUGAUUAAUUUGUUGUAUUUGUAAAACUCAAAUUUAAAAUGAAGCUAAAAUCCAAGAAUUUGUGUCACAGCUGUUAGGUAAUAAUGAGUGUAUGUCACAUCACCUCAUAUUUAAAUAAAAGCAUUUUUAAAAAAAUCAAA